rnacentral:rRNA from 1 species
UACGUAGGGUGCGAGCGUUAAUCGGAAUUACUGGGCGUAAAGGGCGUGUAGGCGGCCAACUAAGUCCGACGUGAAAUCCCCAGGCUUAACCUGGGAACUGCGUCGGAUACUGGAUGGCUUGAAUCCGGGAGAGGGAUGCAGAAUUCCAGGUGUAGCGGUGAAAUGCGUAGAGAUGUGGAGGAACACCAGUGGCGAAGGCGGCUUUCUGGUCUGUAACUGACGCUGAGGCGCGAAAGCGUGGGGAGCAAACAGG